rnacentral:rRNA from 1 species
AUUGAACGCUGGCGGCAUGCCUUACACAUGCAAGUCGAACGGCAGCACGGGGCAACCUGGUGGCGAGUGGCGAGCGGGUGAGUAAUGCAUCGGAACGUACCUUUCAGUGGGGGAUAACGUAGCGAAAGUUACGCUAAUACCGCAUAUUCUGUGAGCAGGAAAGCAGGGGAUCGCAAGACCUUGCGCUGAUUGAGCGGCCGAUGUCAGAUUAGCUAGUUGGUGAGGUAAAGGCUCACCAAGGCGACGAUCUGUAGCGGGUCUGAGAGGAUGAUCCGCCACACUGGAACUGAGACACGGUCCAGACUCCUACAGGAGGCAGCAGUGGGGAAUUUUGGACAAUGGGGGCAACCCUGAUCCAGCCAUGCCGCGUGAGUGAAGAAGGCCUUCGGGUUGUAAAGCUCUUUCGGCCGGGAAGAAAUCGCACGGGCUAAUACCCUGUGUGGAUGACGGUACCGGAAUAAGAAGCACCGGCUAACUACGUGCCAGCCGCCGCCGUAAGAC